CUAAUCCUUGUACAAAUGGAGGCACAUGCGUCGACCAAGUGAACUACUUUAUAUGCGUCUGUGUUCCUGGAUACUCAGGAGCAACAUGCAAUUUAGAUGUCAAUGAAUGUACAUCUAAUCCAUGUACAAAUGGAGGCACAUGCGUUGACCAGGUGAACCGAUUUGUAUGCGUCUGUGCUUCUGGAUACUCUGGAGAGACAUGUGCUUCAGGGCCAACCACAUCGGUAACAACUCCCGCUCAAACAUGAAGUACUACACCCACCACAAUAAACAAC